GUUCCGGCUUGGGGGCUGACAGCCCUGGGUCAGAUCCGGACUCCGUCGCUUACUCGCUGUGUGACCUUGGGCAGAUCUCAUCACUUCUCCGGGCCUCUGCCAUCUCCUGAGCAAAGUAGCAAAAAUGCUCAGAUGCUCGCGUGGCAUGAGUCAUUUUGAGUCAGCACUGAGCCCCGAGCCUGGCUUGGGUGGGUGGGUGUAUGUGUGUGUGCAAAAGCAGGAGUGCUCCUCCAUCCACCCUGUUCCGGGGCUUCCAACUUAGCCCUGUGGUUCCAUUUCUGUUCCCAGCUCUGUGGCUCAUCUCAGCUUCCUUCCUGAGUGCUUGGUCACAUCUUUUCCUUUCUUCUUUCCUGCUUCUGGCAUUCAUGAGACCUGGAGCACCACUCCCAGUUGCACUGGAGCUUCAUAGCCCAGGAACCCCACAGGCUCCCAAGGACAGCCAGGGAGGUGCCUGAAGGCAGGGGCCAGCCUGACCCAGGGAACCUUGGCCAGCUACUACCUGGGCUGCAUCUCAGAAGGACGCAACAGGGUUCCUUGGAAAGGUUCUGUAAACAGCACUCCCAUUUAAUAUUUAUGAUGUACCUACUAUGUGCCAGGGGAAUGAGGAAAGAAACCAGAUGAAGUCUCUGCCUUCCCUGGGUGCAGCUCUGUGACCAUUCUGUGACAGGACCUCUGCAGAACCUCCUCCAGAGUCUUCCCCAGUUCCCUCCAUGCAGAAGGAGAGUGAACUAGAUAACCUAAGGAUCUACCUACAAAGGUUUUUUUGCGACCUGUGUGGCCCUUGGGACCUUUUCCCUCGUGAUGCCAGGGGUGGAACUCAUACAUGCCAGGCAGAGAUGACCGAGAUGGCUCCCUGGCCAACUUCUUAAAUUUAAGCUGAGCCAAGGGCUUGGGAGGAAUGUUCUGACACUUGUAGAGAGCACGUGUGAGAAGUGGCUUCCCAGAACCAAGGGGACAAAGGAAGUCAGCUUGGCCUUGUGCACCCCCUUGGCUAUACUUAUGGCCAUGUCAGCACCGUCUUGGAGUCAUCUAAGGAAGCUUUAAAAGUACUGAGGUCCACCUCGAAAACUGAUUUACUCAUCUGGAGAGUGGCCUGAGCAUCUGGAAUUGACCUCAUCCUUGAUAUCCUUGACCCAUGAAGAAACCCAGGGCUUUACUACUUACCUGUAAAGGGCUCAACUGUACAUGAGCAAGACAGGUGAGAGAAGACAGCAUCAACCUGGACCAAAAUGGGAUUAGGGCCAUAGGCCCACAGAGAAAAAGCAAGGCUAGAGAAAAUUGCUAAGACCUGAACAUGCAAUUCCCUGACAUUCAGCCCACCAGAAACCAUCCAGCAAAAAAGAAACUUGGCUCUGUAUGUGCCAAAAGCAUGAAGUGCUAGACUGUGGAAGUCAUAAAGGGAAAUUAACUGAAACCCAGAGAUGCCAAGACUCAUUUGGGAGCAAUCUAUCUCUCCCAAAGUGAGAGUACAAUGUGUAACCUCUGGGGAUGUUUUCGUCUCACAUCUUUAUUCCCCAGGCUAGAUCUUCUAUCUCUUCAAAUCCUAAGAGGCGCUGCUAUUUCCUGGUAGUGGCUCCUUGGAGGCACUUGGAGAACUGAAGAGGCUGAGGUUAGAAAAAAGCCCUUGCAGGUUCCCAGGCUCAGCUCCUCCUAGUCGCUGCCAACUUCCCAAGGGACUGGUGGGCUUUUCACUGCUUGGUGUCAAGGGUCAAGCCUUUCAUCCCAAGCGAAAAAAAACAAGGGGAGGAACUAGACCAAUAGUCACCCAUGAUGGUGCUGAAAGCAUGAAGAGCUGCUUGUAUGCCAUCUUUGGCCAACUUCCCUGGUUAAGGAUACAACCAAAUAUAACGUUGUUCAGGCCAGAAUUCUGAGUCACCAGUUGCCUUUGGAGAUUUUGCAGUACUUUGUACUAAAAAUACAUGCUAAAAGCUACAGGCAAAGAAACCAGUUUCACUUUGUUUAACCCAUCUUUUUUCAUAUUUCUUUGAACAUGCAGCCUUUAUGCCCAAAGUAUGUAGCAACCCGUAUGGAUAAUGGUGUUGUAAUUUUAGGAAACUUGACCUAUAGGACCAAGUACCUGAAGUACAGGUUCCCCAGGAUUUGGCUCUUACUUAAUUCUGCAACUUUCCCUUUGCUGCUUCCCAUCACUAAUCAUGCUCCCUUGGUUCAUGAAACAUGCACACACUCCAGCUUGUGCCUGCUGUUUCUUUGAAUGUACAAUUUUUUUUGUCCCCGACAAGCCCUACUCAUUUUCCAUGUCCAGAUCUAAGCACAAUCACAUAAUCUGUGUAACUUCUUCAUCUCUCCCAGGCACAAUAAAUUGCUUCCUCCUGUUUCCAGUGCAA